UCCUACGGGAGGCAGCAGUGGGGAAUAUUGGACAAUGGGCGAAAGCCUGAUCCAGCAAUGCAGCGUGUGUGAAGAAGGCCUGAGGGUUGUAAAGCACUUUCAGUAGGGAAGAUAAUGACGGUACCUACAGAAGAAGCACCGGCUAACUUCGUGCCAGCAGCCGCGGUAAU
rnacentral:rRNA from 1 species